CCGAGGCCGUUCCCCAAGGAUGCGCGGGCCCGAGGGGAGGGCGACGCGGCCCGCGCGGCGCGUUCCUGGCCGCCUGGAGUCCGGAAACGGUGAAUCCCACUCGCAGCGGACCCAGGGGAGGCGCAGCGGGACGGGAUCGGUGGGAACGGAAACAGCGGUCACCCGGAAGCCCAGAACCAGCGAGUGCGUGGUGCAGUGUUCGCUUCCCAAACGUUGUGGGACAAACGCCUUUCAACUGUUUCUGGACGCCCGUGGGCCGGCGUUACCCUGUUGAGCUAUUCCUUUCGAUUAGCUUAGUAUUGUUAGUACUGUUGUUAUUUGGAAACUUUAGCCUACAACGAUAUAUUUCUUAAUUUGGAAAAUGAAGACCUAUCUGCCCAAUCAGCCACUCUGUUUCAGGCAUUCACCUCUGGUCCGUUUGAUCUCAGGCAGCGUGCUGAAGAGGAUGAACCGGGCAGCUGGAGUUUCCAGGGGCACGGAGCCUGCGGGGCGCACGGAGGGGCCUCGAGCGCGUGGCCCUGCGCGUCCCGGGGGCGCCCGCUGUCCACAGCCGCCUCGGUAGCUCCGCCACCACCCCUGGGAGAUGGAACAGCGGGUGUGGGGAGGAACGAACCCGGUUUUGGUGAAGUUCUAGUUCCACGCUGCUAGAAACGUUCUUCAGGUCAACUCUGGAGAGGAUUGGACUGGGAGAGGUCUGCAGGAGGCUGGAGUCUGUUUUCAGGAGCUUAAUGGGUGGCGAGCCCGCAGUGUUAUAAUUUUUAUUGCAGGCCGGUCCUAUCUCAGGCACUCUGCUGAGCUUUGCGGGUUUCUCCUAGUCCUACUCAACCACCGUGUGCCCCAAGCUCUUCCCAUCCAGGCCAGGACCAGGGUGAGGCCAGCAGGGAUCUGAGGUCCAGAACUUAAGGAAGCGCUCACUCUCAGGCCUGACUCUCCACCAGCACAACCCCGAGAAUGGGUGCCUCCUUAGAUGUUGCACCCCAGGUGCCUGUCUCACCUGGUCCGGAUCCCACCUUGCGAAGGAGGAAUCCAGAGGUCAGAGAGAUUCUGCAUCUUAAGCCAGGAAUUUUGCGACACUGGUUGCUAUGGCUACACGUAUUGGACCCCUAAGCCCUGGAAGCUGGGGUCAGAGAGAGUGGACAUCCUCACUGCUCCUGGAGGGACCAAUGCAACAGGGGGAGCAAAGAGGGAAGAGAGAAGCCCCUCCCAUUCGCUUCUACUGGGGCUUGUUAAGCCAUUGCCUUGGGGGCCGGCUGAUCAGCGGCAGCCAACAGCCGGCGGCUUCGGCAGGCAGAAGCAAGGACAGCCUGUGGCUACUGCAGCCCCACUGCCCGGCCACUCUUCAUGACGGGAGAGUGCCUUGGGAGGAAUGUAAAGGCAAACCACGAAGGAAACUGGCAAAUGCAUGAAGUCAAUCUCCAUGGUGCACUUCCACUCCAGGGACUGUACGAGAGGAAAAAAAGGUGCUUCAUAUCCCAACCAAAAGUAUUCUCUGUCUGAGGACCAUUGCCCAAGUGUGAAGUAGGAGACUUGUGCAAUUCAAAGGCACUCACGCGAUGCUCGUGCAGAGCCAUUUUCUCAGUCAGGCACGACAGGUAUGGAGCCAGCCCUGGGAAGUGGGAUCUAGAAUGACAACCCCUGGCACAGGGCUAAGGAGCUUUAGGAGUGGUGAAAUCUCAUUGUACCACUGCAAACAGAAGCUGCAUCCCUGCAUGGGAAGCAUUAGGUCGCCUCCCAGGCAGGAGCAAACAUUUAGUGGGAAGGACUAGGAGGCUGGCUGCUUGCUCUUCUCUUUCAGAAGUGACAUCUCCACCCUGCUUGUGCCACGUCUCCAGAAAGGUGGUUCCAGGUACAAAAGCUCAAGUGGACUGGAGGCUCCCAAAGCUUCUCCCCGUGCCAUCUCCCCACAGGCUGCUGGGUCUAGUGGUGGCUGCCCCUUGGGUACUAGGAACUCCUAGUUCUACAAUGAGAAGCUGCAGGGUAAGUUUUGUCCUCAUGCUCACCCCCUUAUGCUGUCUUCAAUAUUGCAUGUUAUUUGGUUUCUACAGGACUCCCAGAGGCCCAUGGACUGGAGCUGUUAAUGUCCUGCAGAUGGGAGCCACUCUCUCACUGUGAUCACCAAGGUACCCAGGGCCUCCAGAGGCCACAAAGAAUGGGUAAUUGCAACCCACAGGUCUCCUUCAGAUUUCCUCAAAGCCCUUCUGGUCAGCAAAUACUCUAUGGCAAGUCUCGGGUUUGGUCUUUACUUCUGGUGCCAAUUAACUUCAUCUUCCUUUUCUCUUUGGUCCGUGGAAUUACUCUGCACUCUUUGCAAUGAUGUUUAGUAAUUCUUAUAGACUAUGGAGCAGCCUGCUGGGACCCUGCCAGCUGAUCUUAGAAAGCCACUUACUGCAGGAUUCCCACUGCUUUCCUGGGCUAGGAAUUCCUUAACCAAAGGCAAGUUUCACAAGAGAUCCUUGAGAAGGUGCCUCAUUAUUAAUAUUUUGAUGUUGAAAAUGUUCAUUGUGGAAGUUGCUUGCAAGGUGGGCCAGUGUGUUUGGGAAGAACAGGGUGGGCCUCGAACAAACUGGGGGGCAGGGUGGGAUUCAGACUCCACUCCCUCCACCUUUGUCCUUCCCUCUUCUUCUUGCUCACCUUCAGAACCCCCGGGCCCCCUUCCUGGCUGCAGCCCCUCGUGUCUUCUUCCUGCGUUGACACUGAAAGCUCUCUUGUGCUAAUUGCUGACUAGGCAUGAAUGCAUGGCAAUCGUUGGCUUGUUUCCUCUCCUGGAUCACUUUUUCCUCCUUUCAUAUUAGGUAGAGCCUUUCAUGUCUUAACAAGAGGGGGCCACUCACAUGAGGUUUUGGAUGCUCCAGUUGGGUGGGUUCUGAACUUCUGGCCCCCUUCCAAGUCUCAAAGUCUGGUUGACCAUGUGUGUUGGGCCAAGCUGUGCCUGGCUCUGGAACUGCCUGCAAGGAGGGGCAUCAGGCUGUGUGGUGGAGAUGGGUAGUGACUCCUCUAGCCCCUGCUGUUCCAGCUGCAGCUGCAGAGUGUACAAGGGGAGAGUCUCCGGAGGUCACGGGGCUCCAUGGGUGGAGAUGAAGCACCCUGUGUGAUGC
ensembl:lincRNA